rnacentral:rRNA from 1 species
GACGAACGCUGGCGGCGUGCUUAACACAUGCAAGUCGAACGGUGAAGCGAGUGCUUGCACUCGUGGAUCAGUGGCGAACGGGUGAGUAACACGUGAGUAACCCGCCCAUCACUCUGGGAUAAGCACUGGAAACGGUGUCUAAUACUGGAUACGACCAACCCUUGCAUGGGGUGUUGGUGGAAAGAUUUAUCGGUGAUGGAUGGACUCGCGGCCUAUCAGCUUGUUGGCGGGGUAAUGGCCCACCAAGGCGACGACGGGUAGCCGGCCUGAGAGGGUGACCGGCCACACUGGGACUGAGACACGGCCCAGACUCCUACGGGAGGCAGCAGUGGGGAAUAUUGCACAAUGGGCGAAAGCCUGAUGCAGCGACGCCGCGUGAGGGAUGACGGCCUUCGGGUUGUAAACCUCUUUCAGCAGGGAAGAAGCGAAAGUGACGGUACCUGCAGAAGAAGCACCGGCUAACUACGUG